rnacentral:lncRNA from 1 species
AGCAUUUGACUAACACUUAGAAGAGGGUCAUCUGCUAAAAAAUACACUCGGCGGAAAAACCCCACUGAAACUUCACGUCGCCACACUAACCUCCAAACCACCAACUGAAACCAGCCAGCACGCCACCCACCAUCGCUUCUGCUUCAUCCCACGACCCUACAGCCCAAACGACCACCAACGAGCCCCGUCUCCCUUCCGACCAGUCCAGUCGUCAACCUCCAGUCAAGGCACCAGCUUAGCCCAAAGGACCUCCAUUUCCGUCUAGCUUCGUCACUCGUCUUCACCAACAGACGACCAGCAUUCCAGC